ensembl:lncRNA
GGCAGUCUGGUGAUUAAAGUGUGUGUGUGUGUGUGGGCAGUUCAGUGUGCUUGCAGAUUAAUGUGCGCAUGUGCCUCUGCUGAACAUGUGUCUAUUAAAGCAGAGUCUGAUCUCAGAGAGACUCAGAUGGAGAGACAGAGAGACAAACAGACAGAUAGACAGACAGACAGACACCAUGUCUCCCUCCCAGUCCUCCCUACUUCUGCUACUGCUGAUGGUCUCCUGCUCCUGGGCCUCACACUUUUUAGGAGGAACCAUGACCUUCAACCCCAGAGGGACCAACCCAGACGGAACCUACAGGGUGGACCUCCGUUACAAGACAGCCUUCCACUCUACCGUCUGCCUAACUGAUACCUGGUCGUGUAUCAGUGGGGACUGUGGGAAUGAGAUCAGUUUAGUGGUUAACACAGUGGACCAGGGGAUAUCUGAGGACUGGUGUCAGACAGAGGGAGUCAUGACUAGACACGUCUCCAAUAACACACAGACUUUUGAUCUGCUAUUGGAUGGCGGAAACUGGAUAAACAAUGUUAAUUCUGUUAGUGCUUGGAGGCUGUGGACUCAUGUGGAUCUUGGGGUCAGGUCUGACACGAAGACAAUCAACCGAUCUCCACAGACCACUGUCGUACCUCUGAUGCGUGUCCCUGCUAAUUGUCCAAGAGAUUUCAACCUGUUGUCGUUUGAUCCAGACGGGGAUGAGGUCAGAUGCAGAUAUGCAGUACCAACGGACGAGUGUGUCACAUCAAGUGACCUUCCUAAUGACUUCACUCUACAAGAGAACUGCACCUUGUCAUUUUGGGGCAACAGUAGUACCACUGGAACAUAUGCAGUUCAGAUAGUGAUGGAGGAUUUCCCGACUCAGACCAUCUCUCUCUCCUAUACUGACGGAUCUCAAUCUAUCAGGACCUCAAACAACACACUCUGCAAACUACCUGUUCAGUUUGCAGUGAGAGUGGACCCCCCGGUGACAUCCUGUAUGGAGGGCUUGUACCUACCUAUGUUCCUGUCUCCAACGCCAGCCCAGGGUGCACUGCUCUACGCCUCUGCAGACCAACCCCUGGAAAUCACUGUCAGAGCACAGGCUACCCAGUCCACGGUUUCAGAGCUGUUGGUGAGUGGACCUUCCAGUAUCACAGAGAACACCACUGUCCCAGGAGAAUACCUUCUAAGGUGGACGCCCACUGAGGAUGAGGAGGGAGGGUACUAUCCUGUGUGCUUCAUCGCUCAGGGAGUGAACGACAGUUCCAUGUAUCACUCUGAGCUGCGCUGCCUGAUCGUCAGGGUUGGAAACACAAGUGCCAUCAGAACCACAGAGGAACCAACAACCUCCCCUCCUCCGGCAAUAAACCUCACAACAACAGAGGAACAAACAACCUCCCCUCCUCUGACAAUAAACCUCACAACCACAGAGGAACCAACAACCUCCCCUCCUCUGACAACAAACCUCACGACCACAGAGGAACCAACACCCUCCCCUCCUCUGACAACAAACCUCACGACCACAGAGGAACCAACAACCUCCCCUCCUCUGACAAUAAA